GACGAACGCUGGCGGCGUGCUUAACACAUGCAAGUCGAACGAUGAACCUUCCAUGAUCUAUUCGUAGAGAUUGGAAGCGGAUUAGUGGCGAACGGGUGAGUAACGCGUGAGCAACCUGCCUUAAACAACGGGAUAGCCUCGGGAAACCGGGCUUAAUACCGUAUGAGACCCCGCCUUCCCAUGAAGAAGAGGUCAAAGAUUUAUCGGUUUAAGAUGGGCUCGCGUCUGAUUACCUAGUUGGUGAGAUAAAAGCCCACCAAGGCAACGAUCAGUAAGCGGCUUGAGAGAGUGAACGGUCACAUUGGAACUGAGACACGGUCCAAACUCCUACGGGAGGCAGCAGUGGGGAAUAUUGCACAAUGGGGGAAACCCUGAUGCAGCGACGCCGCGUGAGCGAUGAAGGAAUUCGUUUCGUAAAGCUCUGUCCAAGGGGAAGAUAAUGACAGUACCCUUGGAGGAAGCCCCGGCUAAAUACGUGCCAGCAGCCGCGGUAA
rnacentral:rRNA from 1 species